rnacentral:rRNA from 1 species
UACGUAGGGGGCUAGCGUUGUCCGGAAUCAUUGGGCGUAAAGAGCGUGUAGGCGGCCCGGUAAGUCCGCUGUGAAAGUCGGGGGCUCAACCCUCGAAUGCCGGUGGAUACUGUCGGGCUAGAGUGCGGAAGAGGCGAGUGGAAUUCCUGGUGUAGCGGUGAAAUGCGCAGAUAUCAGGAGGAACACCGAUGGCGAAGGCAGGUCUCGUGGGCCACUACUGACGCUGGAGAAGCGAAAGCAUGGGGAGCGAACAGG